GACGUAGGGAGCCAGCGUUGUUCGGAAUUACUGGGUGUAAAGGGUUCGUAGGCGGUGCGGCAAGUCGGGAGUGAAAUCUCUGGGCUUAACCCAGAGGCUGCUUCCGAAACUGCUGUGCUUGAGUGUGGGAGAGGCGCGUGGAAUUGCAGGUGUAGCGGUGAAAUGCGUAGAUAUCUGCAGGAACACCCGUGGCGAAAGCGGCGCGCUGGACCACUACUGACGCUGAGGAACGAAAGCUAGGGGAGCAAACAGG
rnacentral:rRNA from 1 species